UGCAUCCAGAUAGGUUCUUCAUUCGGAUGUGCGACAGUCCUUCAUACGGAUCGUCGGUCACAGUAGACUUUUUGCUCUAUUGAGAGAACAUUCCUUCGUAGAAAAGAAAAUUUCAUCGCGAAAUCUUUUUUGAUUUUAUCUUCUUCUAUCCUCUGAAGAAUUCAACGCAGUCUAGAUAGCAAAAUGACUAUCAAUAAUAACGUUACCAUUGUUAUUGAAUAUCGAAUUAAUGUUAAUUACGAUACCAAUUUGAAAAUGGUAUAUAUCGUAAGAGUACAUAUUUCAAUGCCACGAGUGAAAUUGAGGGCGAUAAAGAAGAUCGAUCUGCGAUUAACAUUUACACCCAAUAAGAAGUUUUUCGAAUCAAUGUUGAAUAAGAAGAUGAAGAAGAAGAAGAAGAAGAGGAUACAAGAGACAAGGAAGUCGAAGAGAUAUACUGGAGGAAACGAAGGGGAAAGCAGUUCUGAUAAUCUGAAAGUAGUACAAAAUUUUCAAAUUAACUAAUAUUUGAAUCUCAAUUUUAAAGAUGUACGAAAUUCAAUGGUACUCAUCGUGGUAAUUAAGUAUACUAUAUCCGAAAUAAAAUAUAUUAUAUUAACACUUCCUGUUCUUCGUACAUCCAACAAUAUAUUCUAUAUGGAUACUACAUGGAUAAAUGUCUAAUUAUCAACCAACUUAGGAUAUGAAAACAUUUACCUUUUUAAUCUUAUAUCUAAAUGGUAAAUCAUUCAAUGCUGUGUUUAUGGAAUGGGAAUUGCAUUGUGACAGCAAAAGAGUGGUUCAAGAAGCAGCUGAUAAAUCUAAGGAAACGAAAGGACAUUGUUAGCUAUUGUUCAUACAUUAAAUGCUCUUAAAUCUUUUGAUGUUGUUGUAUGCAUUAUCUGACUGGAAAUAUCUCGGAAGAGGAAAAAAAAGAAAAAUCAUUUGUGCUUGAUGACAAAGUUUCAAAAGAGCAAUAUGACGCAGUUUUAUAAAGCUUGGAACAAUGAUACGAGGAAAUGAAAGGGAUUUACCUGUUUCAAAGCAUCCAACCGUGAGCUGCUUCAACUGGGGCGUAUAUGCGAUUGUGCUGAAAAAGAUUUGUCGAAGGGGCAUGCGGGGCAAAGAUCAAAGGGGAAUUGGAAUGAAAGUGAGACGGGUAUGUCAUAUAAAAUAAUUUAAUAUAGAGGAAAUUAAAUUAUGCAUUAAAUAAUAUGUCCACGCUCACGUCAUCGGUAUUUUAUCGACUUAAAUUAAAGAACCAUUCGAUAUAAUUAAGAAUGGAAAAAUUUUGAAUUCUGUUUUUUAAAUUAUUUGUCAUAAUAUUCAUGACAUGUACUUAAAAAAUAUUUGCAAUUAGCGCUUUUCAUAAAUAUUGAAAUUUGGACGAAAUAAUUUGGUAACUAACGCGAAUUACCCUGCUAAUACGUUUUGACAGAGAUUUAAUUACAGUGGAUGUCCGUAAUACGUUCUUCUAUAGUUAUCGUCAAGUACCUUUGUUUCGAACCUUUUGUUAAUAUCUCCCUCCAUCUCUGAGUGUGCUCUUGUAUGCGCUCACGUGCACCAGAAUGUGAACAGACACGUGAUGUAUCAUUUUGAAAAUAAGAAUGGAACGUUUUCAUUUAUUUUCCCCUCAUCAAAGCGAGUAAACAAUUGGAUAAUAGGAUAAGCAAUAUAAUUCAAUAACCUAUUUAAUUGUAUCAUUUAAUUAGCCGGUUAGGUCUUUUGCGAAACAAUAGACUACGUUACCGAUUCAAUUCUUUCAUAGGAACGAAUAGGUUUUCCUACAAAUGUAUUCCUAAUCAAAGAAUUUAAAAAUUCAAUUCAAUUAUAUAAUAUAUAUAAUAUUGCAUAUAUAAUAUUGCAUAAUAUUAUACAACAUCGCGUGUAUCACAUUCUAAACUAGUUAGGUCGUAUGAUAGUAUUAUAUUUCUGCAAUCGUUUAUUUCUUAUUAUAUAUAACCAAGCAUGUAGUAGUUAUUUUAUUAUAUUUUUAGUAAAAUAAUAUUUGUAUUUUCCGAAUGCAUUAUGCGUAUGAUUUAAUUUUUCAAUAUGCAUAUAAUACAAUACACCAUUUAACAUAGCAAGAAUCUAUUAGACUUUAUAUUAUAUACAUAUUUGUACUAUUACUAUAUAUUAAAAUUUAAUUAUUCAUUUAUCGUUAUUUGACUAACCGAUUGACGUGGCUGUAACCAUAAGUUAUAAAUGUUGUAGGAAGAUAGUCUUUCCGUAAAAUAAUUUUUCCUUCUAAAUAGAAUCUUUUGAAUACUACUUUCUUGAUGUCAAUGUUCUCUUCGAAAGAAAUAAAUAAAUAUGAAUAAAUAAACACCAAUGAAAGAAAGAAGCAAACAAAUAUGUAUUGAGAACUCAACUAAGAAAUGAAAUUUUAUUCUUAUUUGACUUUUUUCCAUGAUUAAUAAAUUUUUGAGAGAAUUUCUGAAAAAUUAGGAGAACAGUAAAUAUAGAUCAACAAUUGGGUUUACAUCUACUGCACGCAUAAAGAAAUAUGAAAGUGUAACUAUUUGAUACACUUUCUGAAUAUAUAUUCGUUUGCUUUUUUUUUUAAGACUAUUUUGUAACGACUAUUUUUCCUUUAAUUUCAAUUACUUCUUAGAUUUUAAUUUAUGCUUUAUUUUUCUUUUUAACCCCUUAUACUCAAAUGUCCUCUCAGAGAGUUCAUCAUAAAAAUAAGGAAAUCUCAUAGAUAAUGAUAACAAUAAAAAUAGUGUACAAAAAUUGCUACAAAACUUGUCAAAAAUAUCGUAAAAAAUUAUAUGGAAUAGAAUUUCGAUUCUAUUUCGAAAAUUUGGUUCGAUUCUAUGGAAAGAAGUAUGUUACACUAUAUACCACGUUUGCGCGACUUAGUGCCGCCGUGUUGUUAUUAGCUAACGUCCGAGAGGACGCCAAGUACAAAGAAUAAAUACGGAAGAAUAUCAAAAUAGAAAUCAUUCCAUGCUUUUUAUCUCUCUACCUAAAGAACGAAGAAUUUGUAUCAUUUUUCUUGGUAAUUUGAUAAACUGAAUAUUAUUUUUAUAAUAAUCUUUAUAGCACUUCAACUUGAUGACUUUUUAGAAAUAAUAUAUAAUCGAUAGAUAAAAUAUUUCCAUGAUAGUAAUACUUAAACGAUAGUAUACUCGCUUAAACAUUAAGCGAGAAAAUUGAAGUCCAAUGAAACAUAACGUAGUUUUAAACGAAAAUUUCAAUAAUUUAUAAUAUGGAUCUCGAAGUGGUUGCAUCUGAGUUGCAUCGCUGCUUGUAAUGUCAACAAAAGGAGCUUUUGAAUGACUUUGACAUUUCUCUCUUUCUAAAUGUGCAAACUUCAAAUUUAAUACUUGUGAUAUUAGGUACCUCUUUCGCCAACUUGGAUUUCAUAUCAUUUAGAAGAUUUGUAAUGAAUUCACUUAUGAAUAGAAAUACCUUCGUCGACUUCAUAAAAUCUGUUUAAAACUUCAGUAAAUUAUUAUAAAAUAUACCUAUGGCAGAGAAUUUAUAUUCCACCGUACAUUUUAGAACAAAAAAUUUCUACCUUAUCUCUCAAAUAUCUUACCAUUCGGUAAACACCACAUUGAUUGAUUUUCCAUUUAAAUAUAAGAGUAAAAAGGAA